rnacentral:lncRNA from 1 species
UGGGGACAGUGUGGUGCUCUGGAAUCCCUGGAGACCAGGAGCAUGAAUGCAGGCAACUCCGAGCUGCCUAGGGGAGCAAGGACAUAAUUUGCCCUCAGAGUGUUAUUAUGGAAGUUUGUGUUCACUGAGCUUUUUAUACCCGCCUCACAAGAAGAAAGACCAAAGGGAAAAACUCAGCAUGGAGAGUGAGAAAGAACAACGUGAAGAAAGAAGAAAAACACCCGAGCAGGCUCAGAGGGACCAGAGACUGUACGAGAGCACCGUCACGUCAGACAACAUUGCACUGCUGCGUGGUCAGAGGUGCCGUGUGGCCCUGUGA